rnacentral:tRNA from 1 species
GGGGAUUUAGCUCAGUGGCAGAGUGCCUGCCUUACGAGCACAAGGUCCUGAGUUCGAUUCCCAGUACCA